AAUUAAACGCUGGCGGCAUUGCCUUACACAUGCAAGUCGAACGGCAGCACGGGGCAACCCGUGGUGGCGAGUGGCGGACGGGUGAGUAAAGCAUCGGAACGUAUCCUGGAGUGGGGGAUAACGUAGCGAAAGUUACGCUAAUACCGCAUAUUCUGUGAGCAGGAAAGCAGGGGAUCGCAAGACCUUGCGCUCUGGGAGCGGCCGAUGUCGGAUUAGCUAGUAGGUGGGGUAAAGGCCUACCAAGGCGACGAUCCGUAGCGGGUCUGAGAGGAUGAUCCGCCACACUGGGACUGAGACACGGCCCAGACUCCUACGGGAGGCAGCAGUGGGGAAUUUUGGACAAUGGGCGGAAGCCUGAUCCAGCCAUGCCGCGUGAGUGAAGAAGGCCUCGG
rnacentral:rRNA from 1 species